CCUCUCUCAAUUCUUCUUUGUCAGUCUCUUCUUAGCGUGAGUCCCCCCCCCAUCGAUUUUAAUACUUAUCCCUUCUCGUCCUAUUUUCCUGUGUACCACUCUUGCAUUUCUUUCUAAGGAAGACACAGAUUAGAUUUGCUCCUGUGUGGGAGGAAUUUCCAUUUCCAAGUCGCUGUGGAUUCCAGUCUCGCCUCACUGAUUAUUAUCAUCUUUCUCUGCG